rnacentral:rRNA from 1 species
CUACGGGGGGCAGCAGGCGCGAAAACUUCACAAUGUGCGAAAGCACGAUGAGGGAAUCCCAAGUGCUUGCACGUAAGUGUAAGCUGUUUUUCUGUAUAAAACGCAGAGAGAGUAAGGGCUGGGUAAGACGGGUGCCAGCCGCCGCGGUAAUACCUGCAGCUCAAGUGGUGGUCGUUAUUAUUGGGCCUAAAACGUUCGUAGCCGGUUUAUUAAAUGCCUGGGUAAAUCGUGUAGCUUAACUAUACGAAUUCCGGGUAGACUGAUAAACUUGAGACUGGGAGAAGCUAGAGGUACUCCUGGGGUAGAGGUGAAAUUCUGUAAUCCUAGGGGGACCACCGGUGGCGAAGGCGUCUAGCUAGAACGGGUCUGACGGUGAGGGACGAAGCCCUGGGGCGCAAACGGGAUUAGAUACCCUGGUAGUC